rnacentral:tRNA from 1 species
UUGUCCGUAGUGAAGAGUGUAUCACACUCGUAUUGGAUGCCGGAGGUCGCGGGUUCAAUUCCCGCCAGAAUAU